rnacentral:rRNA from 1 species
GUCUAUGGCCAUGCCGCCCUGAACAAGCCCGAUGUCUGAUCUCAGAAGCUAAGCAGGGUCGGGCCUGGUUAGUACUUGGAUGGGAGACCACCUAGGAAGGCUAGGUGCUGUAGGCA